rnacentral:rRNA from 1 species
GACGAACGCUGGCGGCGUGCUUAAUACAUGCAAGUCGAACGGAGUUACCUUAGAAGCUUGCUUUUGGAGUAACUUAGUGGCGGACGGGUGAGUAACGCGUGGGCAACCUGCCCUCUAGUCGGGGACAACAGCUCGAAAGGGCUGCUAUAACCGGAUAUGCUCACACCCGGACAUCCGGGAGUGAGAAAAAGCGAUGCUAGAGGAUGGGCCCGCGUUCCAUUAGCUAGUUGGUGAGGUAACGGCCCACCAAGGCGACGAUGGAUAGCCGACCUGAGAGGGUGAACGGCCACACUGGGACUGAGACACGGCCCAGACUCCUACGGGAGGCAGCAGUAGGGAAUUUUCCGCAAUGGGCGAAAGCCUGACGGAGCAACGCCGCGUGAGGGAUGAAGGUUUUCGGAUCGUAAACCUCUGUCUAGAGGGACGAUAAUGACGGUACCUCUGGAGGAAGCCACGGCUAACUACGUGCCAGCCGCCGCGGUAAAAC